GGGGAAGCGAAGCCCUCAUUUUCUAGACUGUCAACACAGGUGUAUACAGACGUUACCGGGCACAGUGCACGGUGUUGCAAGCUUCCUGCGUUUCCACUAUUCGACUAUCAGCCGAAUCCUCAUAGUCAACAAAACGCAAAUGUAAAGACCUGACCCUGUCUCCGGCAACCGCAGAGUCUCUUGGGAGUCGAAGGGUUCGCGGAGGGACUCCGACACCUGGCGACAGAAAAGCAACGGAUUUGAACUGUCGAAGGGUCAACGAUUUCGUAGGGCAGCCGAGUUUGGAGCAGCCAUUCCACAGAGAAGCUCAGGCAAGAGCAUCCAGGAUCGGCUCAUCGUCGAAGCUGUUACAGCGCACGGCUAUAGCCAAAUGGAGGUGGCAAGCUUCCUGAGGGUCCACUAUUCGACGAUCAGCCAAAUCCUCGCAGCCAAUAACGCCAAAGCGCGCGUCUAAACACUUGAUGCAAUAAUCCUGAGACCCUUUUUCAUUUUUGAGGUAUGAGUUUUUGCGGACUGUCAGUCUCCUCGAACGCCCAACUUUUACCGAUUAGUCUCCUCCCGACACGUUCCUUAAUUCUGGUGAGAAUCUCCUCUCUUCUCUCCCUCGCCCAAUCAGGCAUGACCUCCUUCCACAUGCCCGCAGACGGAAUGUAGAUGAUAUCUUCCAAUCGAUUGAAAUACAUCUGAAGACUCUUUUCUCCUUCCUUAUAGAUAAGAACACCGUCUUCGGCUCCCCCUCUUUUUUGUACGUGGAAACCUUCCUUUCUUCUUCUCAAUCUCUUUCCUGCGAUCGCGAUAACCAUUAUGAGUAAUAUAAAGCCUAAGCCAGAAAGCAGCACUUGAUUCUCCAUUUUGGACAAAUACUUGUUUGAUCUGACAACAGCCAGUAGGUACCGACACCGUAAUGAACUAUCUCACAAACUUGUUCGCCUAAUGAUCCUGUUAAUUCUUGGUUUUUU
rnacentral:misc_RNA from 1 species